CAAUAGCGUAUAUUAAAGUUGUUGCGGUUAAAAAGCUCGUAGUUGGAUUUCUGCCGAGGACGACCGGUCCGCCCUCUGGGUGAGUAUCUGGCUCGGCCUGGGCAUCUUCUUGGAGAACGUAGCUGCACUUGACUGUGUGGUGCGGUAUCCAGGACUUUUACUUUGAGGAAAUUAGAGUGUUUCAAGCAGGCACACGCCUUGAAUACAUUAGCAUGGAAUAAUAAGAUAGGACCUCGGUUCUAUUUUGUUGGUUUCUAGAGCUGAGGUAAUGAUUAAUAGGGAUAGUUGGGGGCAUUCGUAUUUAACUGUCGGAGGUGAAAUUCUUGGAUUUGUUAAAGACGGACUACUGCGAAAGCAUUUGCCAAGGAUGUUUUCAUUGA
rnacentral:rRNA from 1 species